AUUGAACGCUGGCGGCAGGCCUAACACAUGCAAGUCGAGCGAGCGGCGGACGGGUGAGUAAUGUAUGGGGAACUGCCCGAUAGAGGGGGAUAACUACUGGAAACGGUGGCUAAUACCGCAUACUAUCGGAUGAACCCAUAUGGGAUUAGCUAGUAGGUGGGGUAAAGGCUCACCUAGGCGACGAUCGCUAGCUGGUCUGAGAGGAUGACCAGCCACACUUGGACUGAGACACGGACCAGACUCCUGCGGGAGGCAGCAGUGGGGAAUAUUGCACAAUGGGCGCAAGCCUGAUGCAGCAAUGCCGCGUGUAUGAAGAAGGCCUUCGGGUUGUAAAGUACUUUCAGCGGGGAGGCGUUACCCGCAUAAGAAGCACCGGCUAACUCCGUGCCAGCCGCCGCGGUAAUAC
rnacentral:rRNA from 1 species